rnacentral:RNase_P_RNA from 1 species
GCAGACGGCUGGAUGAUCGCUGCCGCCUUCGGACCGUGUCUCUUGAUGCAGACCGUUUGGCGGGGGAGGAAAGUCCGAACUCCGCAGGGCAGUGUGCCGGAUAACGUCCGGGACGGAGGUUUCAAGACCUCUGGACGGCCAGUGCAACAGAGAACGAACCGCCCGGCUGGAGUCGAAAGACGACAGCAGGGUAAGGGUGAAAAGGUGCGGUAAGAGCGCACCGGUUCCUGCGUAAGCAGGAACGCUUGGUAAACCCCACACGGAGCAAGACCAAAUAGGCAGGGAUGUUGCCCCGCACUCUCGAGCGGGCAGCAAGCGCAUUGGCCCGAUGCGCCCAGGCCGAGAGAGCUGGUCGAGCGAAAGCGAAACCGGCAGCCGGAACCUGCGGGUAGGUUGCUAAAGCGCCGCAGUAAUGCGUCGCGUAGAGGAAUGAUCGUCUAAAACAGAAUUCGGCUUACGGGCCGUCUGCAAAC